rnacentral:rRNA from 1 species
UACGUAGGGGGCGAGCGUUGUCCGGAAUUACUGGGCGUAAAGCGCGCGUAGGUGGCUUGUUAAGACCGAUGUGAAAUCUCCGCGCUUACCGUGGAGAGGUCGUUGGUGGACUGGCAGGCUUGGGUUUGGCAGAGGGUGAGUGGAAUUCCGGGUGGAGCGGUGAAAUGCGUAGAGAUCCGGAGGAACACCAGUGGCGAAGGC